rnacentral:rRNA from 1 species
UGGGGGAUAUUGCACAAUGGGCGAAAGCCUGAUGCAGCGACGCCGCGUGGGGGAUGAAGGCCUUCGGGUUGUAAACUUCUUUUGCUCUGAACAAGGCAUGCCUUUGGGGUGUGUUGAGUGUAGGGGUUGAUUAGCGCCGGCUAACUACGUGCCAGCAGCCGCGGUAAUACGUAGGGCGCGAGCGUUGUCCGGAAUUAUUGGGCGUAAAGGGCUUGUAGGUGGCUGGUUGCGUCUGUCGUGAAAGCUCAUGGCUUAACUGUGGGGUUGCGGUGGGUACGGGCUGGCUUGAGUGCAGUAGGGGAGGCUGGAAUUCCUGGUGUAGCGGUGGAAUGCGCAGAUAUCAGGAGGAAUACCGGUGGCGAAGGCGGGUCUCUGGGCUGUUACUGACGCUGAGGAGCGAAAGCGUGGGGAGCGAACAGG